UGCCAGACUCCUACGGGAGGCAGCAGUGGGGAAUAUUGCACAAUGGGGGGAACCCUGAUGCAGCGACGCCGCGUGAGUGAAGAAGUAUUUCGGUAUGUAAAGCUCUGUCAGCAGGGAAGAAGAAAGACGGUACCUGACCAAGAAGCCCCGGCUAACUACGUGCCAGCAGCCGCGGUAAUACGUAGGGGGCAAGCGUUAUCCGGAUUUACUGGGUGUAAAGGGAGCGUAGACGGCAGGGCAAGUCUGGAGUGAAAGGCGGGGGCCCAACCCCUGGACUGCUCUGGAAACUGUCCGGCUGGAGUGCAGGAGAGGUAAGUGGAAUUCCUAGUGUAGCGGUGAAAUGCGUAGAUAUUAGGAGGAACACCAGUGGCGAAGGCGGCUUACUGGACUGUAACUGACGUUGAGGCUCGAAAGCGUGGGGAGCAAACAGGAUUAGAUACCCUCGUAC
rnacentral:rRNA from 1 species